rnacentral:rRNA from 1 species
CCUACGGGGGGCUGCAGUGGGGAAUAUUGGACAAUGGGCGAAAGCCUGAUCCAGCCAUGCCGCGUGUGUGAAGAAGGCCUUCGGGUUGUAAAGCACUUUCAGUGGGGAAGAAAGCCUUGGGGCUAAUACCCUCGAGGAAGGACAUCACCCACAGAAGAAGCACCGGCUAACUCCGUGCCAGCAGCCGCGGUAAUACGGAGGGUGCGAGCGUUAAUCGGAAUUACUGGGCGUAAAGCGCGCGUAGGCGGUCUGAUAAGCCGGUUGUGAAAGCCCCGGGCUCAACCUGGGAACGGCAUCCGGAACUGUCAGGCUAGAGUGCAGGAGAGGAAGGUAGAAUUCCCGGUGUAGCGGUGAAAUGCGUAGAGAUCGGGAGGAAUACCAGUGGCGAAGGCGGCCUUCUGGACUGACACUGACGCUGAGGUGCGAAAGCGUGGGUAGCGAACAGGAUUAGAUACCCGAGUAGUC